CCGCAACCCGGGCCCAAUCCACCCUUAUCUUAUUAUCCACAACUAUCAACACCAUUCAAUGCAAUAACAGCGUACAAAUCAACCUUCAACAUCAACGACAAAAUCAAUCCAAAUCACAACUCUCCACCCAAAUCCAAGGACCCGAUAACACCCCCAACAACUCGCCGACCCAAGCUCCAACCCAUCUAUUUCUUCUUCGCCACAUUUCUUUCCACGCGAAUUCAUACAGAAAAGUUCAAAAACCUUCUAGAACAAACCAAGAUUUCAUCGUCUAACGUCCAUAUUCCGCAAAUCUUGGGACAUAUGGUACAAUUUGGUACAUUUGUGGGGGAAUUCGAUUGGCUUAAGAGAGAUUCCAUUUCUCCGCAUCUAUUUCCCUAGGGGGAAUAAUCCAAAUAGGUACAAGUCAUUUGUUUUGGAAACCGUAGCCUUAAUUUGAAUUUUGAAUUUCUCCCCUUUUUCAAAUCCCUAAAUUACCCCUAAUUAGUCUUUUAUAUAAGAACUCAUUUGCGUCACUGUUAGGGGGGUCAAAAAAUUCUAGGGGGUUCUUUGGAGGCUGAUAAUUCCAGGGUUUAGAAAGUUUUCUAAAAACCUAGGUUGAACAAAAAAUUUUCUUUUGGGUAAAAGAAGGAGGAUUUCGAAAAAGAGUAAUUUGGUUUCGGGGAAAGAGAAACUUUGUUUGGUAAAGAUUUUAGGAAGAAACAGUUAGCUAGUCGAGUGUUCACGACGGUAUUGAGCUUUCCAAGUGGUAAUAAGAGUCCGAUCUUAGCUCGUUGCCCCGUUUCGCUGCUCCGAGAGAGGAGCUGUGAAGGCCAUUGAAUUUUCAGUCUGGUAUUUGUUUAAAGAAAUUUUCCUUAUCAGUUUGUUUUACUGGUAGUUCCAUCGGUUUCUCCUUUCCUCUAUCUAAACUUGUUCAAUACAUCGUCAGUGCGAACCAUGGUUUUACGUGAAAGGUUACUCUUUUUAUACCUGUACAUUUCGUCUGACCUGAAUAUAGAAGCAAGCCCCAAAUGACAACAUUUAUUAGCAUCUUGAAUGAAAUUCGUUGACUGCUUUUGUGUAAAUGAGAUAAUGACUUGAUGUCUCAAAUAACAUUGUACUGCUUUGCUGUGCACCGGACCAAUCGAAUAUAUAUUAACCUCAGUUUUAUCGCGGAAUGCCCUAUCUUAUUAAAAACUCUCCUGAUCGCUAUCUAACUGUUCCAGUUAAGGUUUCGUUCAUGGAAUUUGUUGGGUAGAAGUUACCUUUGCUGGAUUUCUAGUUAAUCUGCCCUGCUUACCUAUUUUAAUCAAAAUCUGUGGAGCUUCUCUGGUUGUUUUUUCGAGUAAAGUGUUGUGAAAACUUCCCAAUGAACUCUUGGCUCAUGAUUCUCCGUGACUUGCCAGAGAGAGGGAGAUGUUGGUUUAAAGAAUUUUCAUUUGAUUAUUGGUUAUUCGUUCCCCUUUGAAAUUUAAUUCUGACAUGUUUGAUACGGAAAUGAGAUUUCCAGGUUUUAUCUAGCAUUAGUUCGUAGUAGUUGUUGUCUACUGGGCUACCUCUGUAUAGGGAUUUUAUAUAUACUCAUGCGAAUAGAAAGCAUUCCAGUCUCACUGGCCCUCUUCCCAGUUACCCUUUAUGUUUUCUUCUCCUUAAAUAGGACCAUGAGUAUAAGUUCGAUAGAACCUUUAAGUCUUUUGUCUUGCGAAAAAGGCUCGGGAUAUCUGUCCCAUUAUGAUAUAACUUUGUCUAUUCGCUUAUCGCUGAGACUUGGGUACCUCAAAUGGUCAUAGUAGAAGCAUGUUGCGGGAUAGCACUUGGCAUUUAUACUUCUAAGGUUGAUGUUGAAUAAGAUAAUAUUUAGUUAGUAGCUUUUGAAUGUGUAAAUCUGUUUACUUCUUUUUCUACCUGUAUUCUGAACAUGCUUUGAUUUCUUUUGCAUUUCGAUGUCAAACGUUUGCUUUACACUUCAUAGGCAUGCAUCCGGAUCGAUAUUAUUCUCUCUUUCACUUGGCAAUAUUUUUGCUGAGUUAACAUGUCCCUUCUUUAUAUCAUCUUCCUACUUUUAAAUAAGAUAUGUGGUUUCCUAGCAUUUUUUUUGUUUGAAUAUUUGUGUUAAGACGUUUAUUGUUCUAUUUUUUCCUUUUGUAUUUCAGAUAUGUUUUGAUUUCUUCUCUUUCUUUUUUUUUCGCAUGUAAACCACCUUGGAGUCCAAAUGGACUCUUCUUCCUUGCAUUUCAUGGUGAGCCAACAUGGCCCCCAUCCUUUGAGUCAAGCCCGAAAAAGAAUCUAAUCGCCUAUCACGUGACGUACGGAUACUAAGAAUCGAAAGAAGAACGAAUGGAGUAAAGUCCUAUCAUUUGAAGCAGCUACGAGACCCCAAAGUCUCAUUUAUUAUUUUUGUUUAUUUACUUAUUGUCGUCUUCAUUUAUUUAUUUAUUUCCUUAGUUAUUCAUUUGGGCCUCAAAGCCAAAGUUGUACUUAAUACAGGUGAAGCGAAACUCGAGCUAAAGGCUCGAAAACAUAGAAUUAGGACAGGUGGAAGACAGGCUGAAAGCCCAAUAUCUAGAUUAGGACAGGGUUGUCGAUUUAGGUCUAAUGGCUCAAGUCCUUCUGCUUC